rnacentral:lncRNA from 1 species
GAAAAUGUAAAGCUUGCAAUCUCAAUAACUGUGAUAACAAUGUGCUUCUUGUAACAUAAGAUCAACAUUGCAUGGUGUUGUCCAAAUUGUUUUCUAUUUCAUUUCAACAUUUUUUAGGAAAGCAAUUAGGGCGCGAAUUUGACCCCCAAAAAUAUCUUUCAUUUACAAUUCAGAGGGGUAGUUAGGCUUGGAGGAUACAAUUACGAAGAGAAGCCAUUGAUAUAAAUUGCCAUAACUCUUUACAAGAAGAAAUUGAUAUGGGCUUGGGCAUCCAAGCCGGCCCAUUAAAUCCGCCACUGAAGAGAAGUGCCCCAUUUUGAUAUUAAAGAAGUCGUUAUCAUUAUACAAGAUUGUCUAUUUUGGACACUUUACAUUUGAUCUCUUGGAUCCUAUUAUAUCUAUUUCAAUAAUAUGGGGUACCGUGGAAAGGAAACACUACAUAAAUCCUUCAUUUAAAAUUCACAUUUCAAAACUAACAAACUUCUAAAAUUCAUUCAAAAAUAAGGUGAUGAUUAAAUUUAUUAAAUAUUUAAUUAUAAUAUAGUAUAAUUAAUCUAAUUAUUCUAGCCCACCUCUAACCUAUCCAUCCAUCACAUCAAACCAUUCUCUCUCUCCAUCCCACCUCACCUCCGGCGAUGACUCCUACGACUUAUCCCGUUCCGACAAAUAUUUCGACGACCUCUCCGACCGUUCCUAAGAUUAUUUUGGCGACCACUUACUUUUCCGCCGACUACCUUUUUUCUCUUUCUCUUCUUUUUUGGCAAUGACCUGUGACUAGUUGCAUUAAAUCUAUGACUUGUGCACAUUGUCAUCUAUGAUCAGCUCUAUUGAAUUUGUGACCUAAUCAGGUGGGAUGAAUAUGUAUACGACCAAUUUCAAAAUUAAGAAAUAAAGUUUGAAAUUUCAAAAAUCAAAUAAUAUUAAAAUUUUAGCUAUGAAAUAAUUAAUCAAAGAAAUAUUUUUGUAAUGAAAUAUAUUAAAUUCACAAUUUUUUUUUUUAGCAAUAACUUGUGACAUGUAUACAUUAUAACAUAUAAAAUAUGAUUUUCAACCUGUGAUUUGAACUAUAAAUUUGAUCCGUGACUUCUACAAAACGACAUGUGACCUGUUAAUAUUGAUCUAUGACCCGUUAAUAUUGAUCUAUGACCCGUUUAUACUGAUUUAUGACUUAUAUGAAAUGACCAUGACUUGUGAACUCAAACCUAUGACCUUAACGGCGAAUUUUGCCCAUAACUGUGACCCACAAUUGUGACCCGCAGACCAGUACCACAAUUUAUCACCUUCACCUCCAACUUUACUAUAGUCACUAGCGUGUUAUAUGUGACUAAUUGGGACCAACUUUGUCUUCAAUGUAACUGUCUGUGACCAUAUCAAUCUAAUUUGUUACUAUAUGUAAACAAAUCACAUUUAGUCACAGUUAAUAUAAAUCUGGUUACAAAAAGUCAUAAUGAAGAUAGACUUGGUCACACCUUAUCUUGUUGCCACUACCACUACGGUAUUACCAUCAAUCCCAACAACGUCAACCAAGUGCGCACCAACACUUUCAACAAAUCCUAACCACCACCACUGGCAUCAUCACACCACUGCCACCACAUGAAAGAUCCAUUGCUCGUAGCUGCAAGCUACGGCGCGCUUCCUUUGAAGCCUCCAAACAUCGACCAAGCUAUUGGACUCUGCCACCAACAUGACUACCUCAACCUCCUCUCGAUCGACAUUCAAGUCUAAUACCUUCCAAACACACCAAAGAUCAAGCCAAACCCAGUAGAUAUGGAUGUCUUUUGGGCAACACCAUCUCCGAUGAUGCCCAUGCCAUUACCACCACCAUUGCGACCACCUGCACCAAAAUCCACCUCCACCACCUCCUCCAAUCCACAACUCGCCACCAUAACCACCACAUCCACAUCAAAUAUAAAUUACCACCACAACCCAUACACCACACACACCACACCAAAAAUUUAGAGAUGUGUACAACCACCACGUAAAUAUACACCACCAGCACCCCCUACGCCCAACAUCGCACCACCAUCUCACCCAGAUCUAACAACAACAUCACCACAGAUCCACACCAACGUUCCUCCUUUUGCAGCAGCGACGCCAUCAAAGCAACUAGAAGCUUCGCCGUAUCACUACUUCGAGUAGCCCUCACCGCUACUUGUAGCAACAACGAUGCCGACGAUGACGAGAAGUCUGGUAUUCGCAUCGCUGCCAAAUGCUGCUUGAGGCAGCAACACUUGAUUGAUUUGACUCAUUCAAUGAUUGAUUUGUCGGAGGUUAAGAGGCUAAAGGAGGAUUUAUUUGGACAAUUUUGGGUGAUGGUGAGUCGGAACUUUGCACAACGAGUCAGGGUCUUGCCUCGUUUAUGAAGAGUUUUGAAGAGGAAAUUAGGGGUUCACCUUCACCAAAGGUGGAUUGGAAGUCGAGAUCUGAAGAGUCUCAGUUGGAUCUCGGAUUUUUGUUGGAGGCUUCGGAUGAUGAGACUGUGCUUCCUUCGUCGAAGGCGUCUCCAGCUGGUGUGUUGAGUGAAAUGAAUAGGUUAGGUGGGGGAUGAGGUACGUAGAGAGAGAGAGAGCGGGGGGG